CUACGGGAGGCAGCAGUGAGGAAUAUUGCGCAAUGGAGGCAACUCUGACGCAGCCAUGCCGCGUGCAGGAAGACGGCCCUACGGGUUGUAAACUGCUUUUAUCCGGGAAGAAACCCCAGGACGUGUCCUGGGUUGACGGUACCGGAGGAAUAAGCACCGGCUAACUCCGUGC
rnacentral:rRNA from 1 species